rnacentral:rRNA from 1 species
ACAAUGAAUGCUCAGUAGCGGCGAGUGAGCGGCAGAGCUCAGAUUUGAAAUCGCAGCGGCAACGCGGCGAGUUGUAGAUUGCAGGUGGGAGAGUUUGCGGGCGGCGGGCGUCGAAGUCCCUUGGAACAGGGCGCCACUGAGGGUGAGAGCCCCGUGCGAUGCCUGCCCAUGCUUUGAACUCCCCUCUGACGAGUCGAGUUGUUUGGGAAUGCAGCUCUAAGCGGGUGGUAAAUUCCAUCUAAGGCUAAAUACUGGCGAGAGACCGAUAGCGAACAAGUACUGUGAAGGAAAGAUGAAAAGCACUUUGAAAAGAGAGUGAAACAGCACGUGAAAUUGUUGAAAGGGAAGGGUAUUGGGCCCGACAUGGGAAUCGCGCACCGCUGCUCCUCGUGGGCGGCGCUCUGCGCUUUUCCUGGGCCAGCAUCGGUUUCCGCUGCAGGAGAAGGGGCUGUGGAAUGUGGCUGGCACGCUUGCGCGCCAGUGUUAUAGCCACGGGCCAGAUGCUGCGUGUGGGGACCGAGGGCUGCGACGGCAACGUCUCGGAUGCGACUGUCU